rnacentral:rRNA from 1 species
GACGAACGCUGGCGGCGUGCUUAACACAUGCAAGUCGAACGGAAAGGCCUGCUUUCCCUUGUGGAUUGCGGGUACUCGAGUGGCGAACGGGUGAGUAACACGUGAGUGAUCUGCCCCCAACUUGGGUAUAAGCCUGGGAAACUGGGUCUAAUUCCCGAUAGGACUGCAGGGUGGUGCCUGUGGUGGAAAACGAUUUUCUAGUGGUUGGGGAUGAGCUCGCGGCCUAUCAGCUUGUUGGUGGGGUAAUGGCCUACCAAGGCGGCGACGGGUAGCCGGCCUGAGAGGGUGGACGGCCACAGUGGGACUGAGAUCCGGCCCAGACUCCCACGGGAGGCAGGAGUCGGGUAUAAUGCACAAGGGGAGGAAGCCUGAGGCAGGGACGCUGCGUGGGGGAUGGCGGCCUUAGGGUGGGACGCUCCUUUCGACCGCGAGGAAGCAAACUGGUUGGAGGGGUGGUGGAGGUAGUGGUAGAAGAAGCACCGGCUAACUACGUG